UAGGGGGUGGUGUAAAGGAAGCACCAAGAGUUUUGAUCUCUUAAGAGAGGGUUCAACCCCCUUUCCUCUAA
rnacentral:tRNA from 1 species